rnacentral:lncRNA from 1 species
AGCAGAGAGCUGGACACGGGGCUUGGGGCUCAGGCAGUCGGCCUCCGGGUCUCCAAGGUGAAGCAGGAAGUGGGUGGUCGGGGCCGGGUGGUGGCUGAGGGCAGGGGCCACAGCGGUGCCGCCCACAGGAUGCCCUCACCGUGGUGGUGGAUGACCUCCGCCUGUGCUCUGUGAAGCCGUGUGAGGACAUCGAGCGGAGGUUCUGCUUCGAGGUGCUGUCACCCACCAAGAGCUGCAUGCUGCAGGCUGACUCCGAGAAGCUGCGGCAAGCCUGGGUCCAGGCUGUGCAGGCCAGCAUCGCCUCCGCCUACCGCGAGAGCCCUGAC